rnacentral:rRNA from 1 species
AUUGAACGCUGGCGGCAGGCCUAACACAUGCAAGUCGAGCGAGCGUCGGACGGGUGUGUAAUGUAUGGGGAACGUCCGAUAGAGGGGGGUAACAACUGGAAACGGUAGCUAAUACCGCAUACAAUCGGAUACCCCAUAUGGGAUUAGCUAGUGGGUGAGGUAAUGGCUCACCUAGGCGACGAUCCCUAGCUGGUCUGAGAGGAUGAUCAGCCACACUGGGACUGAGACACGGCCCAGACUCCUACGGAGGCAGCAGUGGGGAAUAUUGCACAAUGGGCGCAAGCCUGAUGCAGCCAUGCCGCGUGUAUGAAGAAGGCCCUAGGGUUGUAAAGUACUUUCAGUCGGGAGGCGUUACCGACAGAAGAAGCACCGGCUAACUCCGUGCCAGCAGCCGCGGUAAUUC